GGUUGACCUCGGAUCAGGUAGGGAUACCCGCUGAACUUAG
rnacentral:misc_RNA from 1 species